GAUAAACGCUGGCGGCGCACAUAAGACAUGCAAGUUGAACGGACUUAAUCGAAAUAUUUAUAUUUUGAAGCGGUUAGUGGCGGACUGGUGAGUAACGCGUAAGGAACCUGCCUAUUAGAGGGGAAUAACAGUGAGAAAUCAUUGCUAAUACCGCAUAUGCCAUAGAUAUCACAUGAUAACAGUGGGAAAGGAGCAAUCCGCUAAUAGAUGGCCUUGCGUCUGAUUAGAUAGUUGGUGGGGUAACGGCCUACCAAGUCGACGAUCAGUAGCCGGACUGAGAGGUUGAACGGCCACAUUGGGACUGAGAUACGGCCCAGACUCCUACUGGAGGCAGCAGUCGGGAAUAUUGCGCAAUGGAGGAAACUCUGACGCAGUGACGCCGCGUAUAGGAAGAAGGUUUUCGGAUUGUAAACUAUUGUCGUUAGGGAAGAGAAAGGACAGUACCUAAGGAGGAAGCUCCGGCUAACUACGUG
rnacentral:rRNA from 1 species